rnacentral:rRNA from 1 species
CCUACGGGCGGCUGCAGUGGGGAAUAUUGGGCAAUGGGGGAAACCCUGACCCAGCGACGCCGCGUGAGGGAAGAAGGUUUUCGGAUUGUAAACCUCUGUCUUUGGGGACGAAGAAAGUGACGGUACCCAAGGAGGAAGCCACGGCUAACUACGUGCCAGCAGCCGCGGUAAAACGUAGGUGGCAAGCGUUGUCCGGAUUUACUGGGUGUAAAGGGAGCGCAGGUGGAUCUGCAAGUCGAAUGUGAAAUGUAUAGGCUCAACCUAUGAACUGCGUUCGAUACUGUGGAUCUUGAGUGGAGUAGGGGCAGGCGGAAUUCCCGGUGUAGCGGUGGAAUGCGUAGAUAUCGGGAGGAAUACCGGUAGCGAAGGCGGCCUGCUGGGCUCUAACUGACACUGAGGCUCGAAAGCGUGGGGAGCAAACAGGCUUAGAUACCCCUGUAGUC